UAUGCUUUUUAGGUAUAUUGAUGGACGACUCUGAAAUAAAGGAGCUUAUUAUUCUAACUGGGAAAUAUGCCACAAUUUAAAGCUGGGACAGAAUGAUAUAAUAUAUAGCUUCAGAACAAUAUUAAGAAAGGAGUUAUUAACCAACUGCGGGGCCUUCCAAAAAUGGUAGAACUUCAUACAUUGAAUUGCUGAUAUACAAAGUGCUAUUAACAAAAGAAGGAAAAUUUAAGGAAGUUGGAUUUGCCUCUCCAUCCUUUUAUUGUUGUAUAGAAGCCAGUGGUUUAAGAGUGGAGAAAAUAUUUUUUGUAUGUAAUAAUAACGUUUUAUAUCUUGUUUUAUUAAUAAAUAAUGAUUUUACCUUAACAUAA
rnacentral:lncRNA from 1 species